rnacentral:rRNA from 1 species
CCCUACGGCCAUGCUACCCUGAACAUGCCGAUCCGUCUGAUCUCGGAAGCUAAGCAGGGUCGGUGCUGGUUAGUACUUGGGUGGGAGACCACCUAGGAAGACCAGAUCCCUCUGUC